rnacentral:rRNA from 1 species
UACGUAGGCAGCGAGCGUUGUUCGGAUUUAUUGGGCGUAAAGAGCUCGUAGGCGGUGUGUCGCGUCGGCCGUGAAAACCUGCAGCUUAACUGUGGGCUUGCGGUCGAUACGGGCAUCACUGGAGUUCGGCAGGGGAGACUGGAAUUCCUGGUGUAGCGGUGAAAUGCGCAGAUAUCAGGAGGAACACCGGUGGCGAAGGCGGGUCUCUGGGCCGAUACUGACGCUGAGGAGCGAAAGCGUGGGGAGCGAACAGG